GGGGUUGUGGCUCAGUGGUAGGGCACUCCAUUAGCACAGGUGAGGCACUGAGUUCGAUCCUCAGCACCACA
rnacentral:tRNA from 1 species